GUCGUAACAAGGUUUCCGUAGGUGAACCUGCGGAAGGAUCAUUACAGAGAACAUGCCCUUCUGGGUAUAUCUCCACCCUUUGUUUACAAUACCUGUUGCUUUGGCGGGCCCGUCCUUUGACCGCUGGCUCUUAGCUGGCUAGUGCCCGCCAGAGGACUCCAAAACCCCUAUAUUAUGAUGUCUGAGUAUUAUACAAAUAGUUAAAACUUUCAACAACGGAUCUCUUGGUUCUGGCAUCGAUGAAGAACGCAGCGAAAUGCGAUAAGUAAUGUGAAUUGCAGAAUUCAGUGAAUCAUCGAAUCUUUGAACGCACAUUGCACCCUCUGGUAUUCCGGGGGGUAUGCCUGUUCGAGCGUCAUUUCAACCCUCAAGCACUGCUUGGUGUUGGAUGCCAUCACUUGUGGUGCAUCCCAAAAGCAUUGGCGGCGGCGGUCCAGCUUCUAGCGUAGUAAUCUUCUCGCUCUGGAGUGUGGACUUUUGGCUGCCAGAACCCUCUUCCUCAAAAGGUUGACCUCGGAUCAGGUAGGGAUACCCACUGAACUUAAGCAUAUCAAUAAGCGGAGGAAAAGAAACCAACAGGGAUUGCCUCAGUAACGGCGAGUGAAGCGGCAACAGCUCAAAUUUGAAAUCUGGCCUUCCGGUCCGAGUUGUAAUUUGUAGAGGAAGCUUCGAGCGUGGUCCGGUCUAAGUUCCUUGGAACAGGACGUCAUAGAGGGUGAGAAUCCCGUAUGCGACUGGGUGCCUAAGCUCAUGUGAAGCUCCUUCGACGAGUCGAGUUGUUUGGGAAUGCAGCUCAAAAUGGGUGGUAAAUUUCAUCUAAAGCUAAAUACUGGCCAGGGACCGAUAGCGCACAAGUAGAGUGAUCGAAAGAUGAAAAGCACUUUGGAAAGAGAGUUAAACAGUACGUGAAAUUGUUGAAAGGGAAGCGCUUGCAACUAGACUUGCAUGCAGUUGAUCAUCCGAUGUUCUCACCGGUGCACUCGAUUGCAUUCAGGCCAGCAUUGGUUCUGGUGGUUGGAUAAAGGCCAGGAGAAUGUAGCUUCUCUCGGGAAGUGUUAUAGCCCCUGGUGCAAUGCAGCCUACCGGGACCGAGGACCGCGCUUCGGCUAGGAUGCUGGCGUAAUAGUUGUAAGCGACC
rnacentral:rRNA from 1 species